rnacentral:ncRNA from 1 species
GAGAGCCAAAUGAAUCGAAAGACUCAUGUUGGUUCGGGAAGGGAUCAUGGAAGUUUUGCAAUGAAUGGAAAGAUAAUCUACUUUCAU